rnacentral:lncRNA from 1 species
ACUCCCCAGGGUGCCAUCCCCUCUGGGUAAGCAUAGAUAACUCACCAGAAGCCCCUGCCAUCUCUUUCCUGAUGUGUCCAACAACAGAGAUUUCUCAGUCUUGUAAGAAACCGCUGAGGGGCAGCAGGUUUUCACAUGGAAACGGCCUUUCAAGUGUAAGGAAAGCUGGAGCUGUGAGUAUUACACAUUUGAUUAUUUUAAUGAAUUCCAUGCAUCAGCUCACUGAAGGUUAUAACAA